GACGAACGCUGGCGGCGUGCUUAACACAUGCAAGUCGAACGGAAAGGCCCUGCUUUUGUGGGGUGCUCGAGUGGCGAACGGGUGAGUAACACGUGAGUAACCUGCCCUUGACUUUGGGAUAACUUCAGGAAACUGGGGCUAAUACCGGAUAGUAGCUCCUGCUGCCUCGUGGGGGUUGGAAAGUUUCGGCGGUUGGGGAUCGUCGCGCGGCUUAACCGCUUGUUGGUGGGGUAGUGGCUUACCAAGGCUUUGACGGGUAGCCGGCCUGAGCGGGUGGCCGGCCACAUUGGGACUGAGGUAGGGCGCAGAAGGCUACGGGAGGCAGCAGGGGGAAGUAUUGCGCAAUGGGGGGAAGCGUGAUGCAGCAACGCCGGGUGCGGGAUGACGGCCUGCGGGGUGUAAACCGCUUUCGCCUGUGACGAAGCGUGAGUGACGGUAAUGGGUAAGGAAGCACCGGCUAACUACGUG
rnacentral:rRNA from 1 species